GCUUUAAUAGUUUAAAAAAAAUUUUGGCCUUGUAAGCCAAAAAUGAAGGGCUCUUUCUUAAAGCA
rnacentral:tRNA from 1 species